rnacentral:rRNA from 1 species
UAGGGAAUCUUCGGCAAUGGACGAAAGUCUGACCGAGCAACGCCGCGUGAGUGAAGAAGGUUUUCGGAUCGUAAAACUCUGUUGUUAGAGAAGAACAAGGACGUUAGUAACUGAACGUCCCCUGACGGUAUCUAACCAGAAAGCCACGGCUAACUACGUGCCAGCAGCCGCGGUAAUACGUAGGUGGCAAGCGUUGUCCGGAUUUAUUGGGCGUAAAGCGCGCGCAGGCGGUUUCUUAAGUCUGAUGUGAAAGCCCACGGCUCAACCGGGGAGGGUCAUUGGAAACUGGGAGACUUAAGUGCAGACGAGGAGAGUGGAAUUCCAUGUGUAGCGGUGAAAUGCGUAGAUAUAUGGAGGAACACCAGUGGCGAAGGCGGCUCUCUGGUCUGUAACUGACGCUGAGGCUCGAAAGCGUGGGGAGCAAACAGG